rnacentral:rRNA from 37 species
AAAACUUUCAACAACGGAUCUCUUGGUUCUGGCAUCGAUGAAGAACGCAGCAAAAUGCGAUAAGUAAUGUGAAUUGCAGAAUUCAGUGAAUCAUCGAAUCUUUGAACGCACAUUGCGCCCGCCAGUAUUCUGGCGGGCAUGCCUGUUCGAGCGUCAUUU